rnacentral:tRNA from 3 species
GCGCGUGUGGCGAAACUGGCAGACGCACUAGACUUAGGAUCUAGCGGGCAACCAUGCAGGUUCAAGUCCUGUCACGCGCACCA